rnacentral:rRNA from 1 species
CGCGGCCUAUCAGCUUGUUGGUGGGGUAACGGCCCACCAAGGCUUGGACGGGUAGCUGGUCUGAGAGGACGAUCAGCCACACUGGGACUGAGACACGGCCCAGACUCCUACGGGAGGCAGCAGUAAGGAAUAUUGCGCAAUGGGCGAAAGCCUGACGCAGCAACGCCGCGUGCGGGAAGAAGGCCCUCGGGUUGUAAACCGCUUUCAGAAGGAACGAAACUGACGGUACUUUCAGAAGAAGGUGCGGCCAACUACGUGCCAGCAGCCGCGGUGACACGUAGGCACCAAGCGUUGUCCGGAUUUAUUGGGCGUAAAGAGCUCGUAGGCGGUUCAGUAAGUCGGGUGUGAAAACUUUGGGCUUAACCCAAAGCGUGCAUCAGAUACUGCUGUGACUUGAGUACGGUAGGGGAGCGGGGAAUUCCUAGUGUAGCGGUGAAAUGCGCAGAUAUUAGGAGGAACACCGGUGGCGAAGGCGCCGCUCUGGGCCGAAACUGACGCUGAGGAGCGAAAGCAUGGGUAGCAAACAGGAUUAGAUACCCUGGUAGUCCAUGCCGUAAACGUUGGGCACUAGGUGUGGGUUCCAACCAACGGAAUCCGCGCCGUCGCUAACGCAUUAAGUGCCCCGCCUGGGGA